rnacentral:rRNA from 1 species
CCUACGGGAGGCAGCAGUGGGGAAUAUUGCACAAUGGGGGAAACCCUGAUGCAGCGACGCCGCGUGAGUGAAGAAGGAAUUCGUUAUGUAAAGCACUAUCAGCAGGGAAGAAAAUGACGGUACCUGAGUAAGUAGCCCCUGCUAAUUACGUGCCAGCAGCCGCGGUAAUACGUAGGGGGCAAGCGUGAGCCGGAUUUACUGGGUGUAAAGGGAGCGUAGGCGGCAGUGCAAGUCAGGAGUGAAAGGCGGGGGCUCAACCCCCGGAUUGCUCUGGAUACUGUACGGCUGGAGUGCAGGAGAGGGAGGUGGAAUUCCAUGUGUAGCGGUGAAAUGCGUAGAUAUGAGGAGGAACACCAGUGGCGAAGGCGGCUUACUGGACUGUAACUGACGUUGAGGCUCGAAAGCGUGGGGAGCAAACAGGAUUAGAUACCCCAGUAGUC